CUCCAGACUCCUACGGGAGGCAGCAGUGGGGGAUAUUGCACAAUGGGGGAAACCCUGAUGCAGCGACGCCGCGUGUGGGAAGACGGUCCUCUGGAUUGUAAACCACUGUCCCCAGGGACGAAGAUGACGGUACCUGGGGAGGAAGCUCCGGCUAACUACGUGCCAGCAGCCGCGGUGAUACGUAGGGAGCGAGCGUUGUCCGGAAUUACUGGGUGUAAAGGGAGCGUAGGCGGGGAUGCAAGUUGGGUGUCAAAACUACCGGCUCAACUGGUAGUCGCACUCAAAACUGCAGCUCUUGAGUGAAGUAGAGGCAGGCGGAAUUCCUAGUGUAGCGGUGAAAUGCGUAGAUAUAAGGAAGAACACCAGUGGCGAAGGCGGAUGACUGGACGGCAACUGACGGUGAGGCGCGAAAGCGUGGGGAGCAAACAGGAUUAGAUACCCUGGUAUGC
rnacentral:rRNA from 1 species